CUUCCUCUUCCUCCUUUCCUCUCUCGCGUUGUUCGCCCUCUCUCGUCUAACCUUCCUGAUGCCAACGUCGAUCGAUGCUUUUAUCCUGCGUCCUUCUCCUCCGCAGCCAGUUAAAUGUCACUUCUCGCGCCACCGUUUGAACGUGUUCUUCGACAGAGUCCUGGUGUCCUCGGUAUUCCGCGUGUCACACGCAUUGGCAUACGUUUUUCCAUUUUUGUAUCGGGCGAGCCCCUUGAGAAAAUUGCGACCGCUGGGAAUCGCGGUAGGUCUCAAAGUGGGAAACGAAGUCGAGUGGUUUGAGGUAAGAAGAGCAAGUUUCUGCGUUAGGGAUUCGACCUAGUCCUGUCUGAUAAGUUUCGUUGUAAAUGUAUCGGGCGGCUGUUAAGAAAUUAUCUCCAAUUAAACGAUAUUUUUAAUAUAUUUGUGAUCUUUUAAUAAUAGCAAAAGGAAGAUGAGACAAAGUGAAAUAUCGUUUUAUACGUGUGCUACUAAUAACCUUCGUUUAUGAUUGUUUUAAUAGAUACGUUGAAAGAAUUUGUAAAGCUAGUCGAUGGCGAAGUAAAAUACUUUUAACGAGAAAACAUUGAAAUAUUUUAAAGUGUAGAAUAUUUACAUUAUAAAUUUCAGUGGAUGAAAGUAUAUAAGACAAAUUUACGCGAGGUAACGACACAAUUUUCUUUCACAUCCUACGCUGUACAAAAUCGGACCAAGUUCUAUCACUUGGUAUUUCGAAACAAUGGUUCCACUGUUUCGAAACAAUUGCCAUUCACAACGUCGACAGCUACUCUUCCUCUCGGAAAGCUUUUAACACUUUGUAACAGAAUUUACAACCAGGCUAGGUAUACGUUUAAUCUUUGAUUGGCACGACGACGAAGAAAGAGGAAGGACAAGUGACGUAACCGUGGGAACUUAUGGAAGACAGUGAUUGUCCCUCAAGGCAUAAGGAGAUUUUAAUUACACGUCUAUUCUUAUAAAAAGCUAGUUAUACUUUUUAUGAAAAAAGGUUCCUCGUUUCAAGUACUCGGUUCUCACUGUCGAUGGAUGGAAAGAGGUUUGUAAUUAAUCUAAUAAGAAGACCUAAAUUAUUUAGAUACGCCGCGUCGACGAAUAGUUUAAUUAAAUGGUUUAAUGGUCAUCGAUAACGAGCGGAUGUUUUGUACGUGCUGUCACUUGCCAAGAAGCUGUUGGCACUUUUGCAAGGGACUAUCGGUGAGUGUCGUUCGCGAAACAUUGAAGCAGCACUCCGAUGCUAUUAACGAAUCGCAACAAGAGGUCCACGAUUCUAUUUCCUUCGGUGACGAGGCGUGCGACAGACAAUUUACAUUGACUCCUUUUUUAUUUUCAGAUAAACGAGCGAAGCUGAAUUACCGACGACCAGAGAGUCACGUUUAUCCAAAGGGAAUCGACGGAGUCGCCUACGCGAUGCCAAUUGCUUCGACAAUAUCAUCGAUCCAUAUCAAAAUCUUGGAAGAACAGAAAUUAGAAACGUUGUUUCAAAAAUAGCUACGCUGACUAAUGGACGAACUAGACGCAAGUCGGAAUACAAAUUAGGAGACCGCGCAUAUGCUUCGUUUAAUAUGGCCUACUACAGGUCGCUUCAGAAGAAAUUACUCUGACAGAGUGUAAGUUACUGCGGAAAUCUUUCCGUAAAUCGUUCCUCUUACCCACUAGUGUACAUAAAAUCGAAUAAAAUAGUCCAUUAUAUACGUAAACAUGGAAAAUUGAACAGAAUCGUAAACUUUUUUACGACAAUCGUAAAAUUGCGGACAAGAAAACAUCGUCUAAAAAUUAAGAUGUACGCUGACGAACCAAAAAUCUGUACCGAUUCAAAACUUAGAUAAACGAGAAAGAAUUCGAAGCUACGAUUAAAAAUCGACUCACUGCUUAACCAACGUAAACGUAUUCCAAAAUAAAUUGAUCGAAACUGAAAUAAAUUGAUAAACAGACCGAUACAAUGCGUCACUGCUACGUAAUACGGUGCAAACAUCGCGUGCCAACAUAAGACGAGAGUGCAGAUUUCAUUCACAGAUCAUCAAAGUGCAGCGAAACAAACGUUUCUGACCAAAGCAUCCGGAGUACUGCUCUAUCGUGACAUUUACCAUUUGCUAAAUGAUAGAUUUUUCGAAUCUUCCUAUCAAUCUGAAUUUCGAGACAGAAAAAUGUGAGUAGUGGCAAUCAUGAACGACCCGCGGCAGGUGCUUCGUCACACUUAUAAAUAGGCUGGACAUCGUCGUCUAUUCCUCCUACACGGUUCAACAUAGAAGUAUGCAGAUCACACGCAUACAGGGGCACCUGUGCGUGAACGAUCAAUAAAGACUGAUCCAUAACCUUUGCACGAUGAAUUUCAUGAAUCUAGUCCAUUCCAAAAGAGUUUGUACGCAAACCGAUUCAUAUGCAAAUUGCAUUCUUGCCAAUUUUUUGCGGUAGGUCCGGCACACGGUUCGAAAUAAGCGAGUUAAAAAGAAAUUUCAUGUUCGAGAAGAUUAAAACUGAGCUUUUCAAUGUUCCAGUGCAAUUUUUAUCGCGUAUAUAGUACUCAUAGUAUUCUAAUAACUUGUGAAUCUCAGAACUCGUCUAAGAUAGUUUAUGAUAUUAUAAUAAUUUGCGAUAUUUCGACGUUGAGAUUUUGUGCAAACUUACCGACUCUUGAGAUGAUCUCGAAUUCGAUAGUCGAUUUCCCCGAUAUUUAAUAUUCUAAUAUUUCGCUAUUUCAGCGUUUUAUUAAUCUGCUAUUUCCAUUUCUUUUAUACUGCAGUGCGGUAAACUUAAGUAACUCAACUUAAUCGAUUGCCAGACACAAGCGUGGCUUGGUUAAAAACGAUACAGUCGAUGAUAUAA